rnacentral:lncRNA from 1 species
GCGUUCUCCUCCCCUCUGCUGUCCCCCGCUCCCCCCACCUCCGGUCCCCACCGACUCCCGAGCGCCUGCCCCGCCCGCUGCCACCACCAGGGCUUCACGGCUCCGCGCCCGCCUGCCAGGGCAUCCCCACCGCGGACGGUUUUUUAAGUCUAGGGGAGGGAGGGGACAGCGGGGCCUAGGUAUCGCUCCCCCCUUCUCGUUCCUGCCGGCUCCGUGGCCCCAGCGCCUACUGUCCUGGUCUACAGAGUGGGCAACGAAUGCGACUCAAAGUUCCAAGUCGACGAAAGUCCAGCGAGCCUGCCGCGUGUUGUCGGGAUUUCGGGGAUAACGUGGGGGCCAGGACCCCAAACUAUCUAACUAUCCAGGAUCUUGGAAAGCCGACUUUCUGUUCUAGGCUUGGGGUUCCCACACUGCAUUCCCCCGCUAGUCUAAGUUCCACGAAGCAACAGCUUUAGACUCCGGGAAGAGCGCAAGAGAACUGUGCGGAGGAAGGACGCGCACAGGUUGGAGUCGCCUCCAAACAGCCCCAAGAGCCACUUACGGAAAAAAAAAAUUCCUUAAGGUUGGUUUGUUUUUCCUUUUGGUGGAGGGUAUACUUAUUUAAGUGGAAAAAAAUAAAAGCAAAUAAAAGAUGUUCGAAACCG